AGGUCCUCCAAGUGUCUGUGUUGUAGAAGGCUACACAUGGUUUUCAUGCUUGGAAACCCCACAAUGUAUCAGUCUUUGCCAAACCUUUUAGAUGUGGUUCAUGAAUAUACCACUAUUCCAGCUAGUAAAGAGUGCUGUCUACACAAUGCCUAGACACUGCUAGUAAUGACUCCCUUUUUUUGAAGGUAUUAUUUGUUGUUUUCAACAUAAGCAUUCUGUGUUGUGCUGCUAGUUCUCUCUAUAUUAAAAACAAAGAUUGUGUGGGUCAGUGUUGUUCAUUAGAUUUUAUCAUCAUUAGAUUUUAUCAUUCUUAGAUUUAGAUUUUUAGAUUUUAUCAUUCUUAUUAAUUUGCUUGUUUUGAAGAGCAACAUAGCCACAGAUCAAGUAUGCAGGUAAAGUUUAUUGUGAUGUUGAUGUAGAACAAUUCCAUCUUAUCUGAUCCACAAUUCUUUUAAUCUGUGUUUGUAAAUUUCACUUCACUGAAAUGAAAAGCUGCUGAUCAUAAUUCAACUGUGAACGGUAUAUUUAAAUAAAUAAAAAGAUUUAUUACAGACUUCAAAUGCAUGCAGGGGUAUGUAUCAGAACUGAUAACUAGAUAUAAAAAGGACUUAAUGUAUGUGGAGUCCAGUAACUUUUAUGGGAAUUAUUUUAAUAACUACUACAGUUUUGAAGCUUAAUUUCCACUUCUAUUCUAUACCAUAACAGUAGAAGAAUAACCCAUUACAUACACAAUCAAUGACAGAACAUGUCAUUGAUUCUAGAAUGUGCUGAAGGCUGGGUCUGCAACAGAUUUUGUAUGUCUAGUUGGUGUUUGAAGUGUUUCAAUCUUAAAUUGACUUACACAUUAAAGCCUUCUCAGUUUGAACCAAGAUGUAUCUUUAGGAUCUCUACUUCUUUCUUCUUAGUCCAGUAAAGUCCCUGAAGAAACCUGCAGUUUUGCUACUAGGCAGAGAAAAUGAGUGCAGUCUUGAAGAUUCUAUAUGCUCCCUAGCCAGAUUCAUAUGUUCAUCUUCCUGGUUUACUUGCAGGCCUUUUUUGGCAGACACUUGUCCUGCUCACUCAUGUUUUGCAGAUGAUGGUGAGUUGCUUCUAGUGUAGUGGUGGUAAGCGUCCUGCUGGAGUAUGGGAGAGGCAAAGUUAAAAUUCCUCCUCUGCUUCAAUUUUUCACAUCUUGCGAGAAUGCCAGUGCCUUAACAGCUGGGAGCUAUAGUCAAAUAUAUACAACUCUGUAUUGCUAUAAAGUGAUAACUUUAUACAAACAAAGUCUUAGGUGCCUUGAAAGAGAUUGGAGGCAUACUUUAUGCUUGAGAAUUAUUUUGCCUGAAUUCUGUAAACUAAGUUCGUAGGUCUUCUUUCUAGUUAGUGGAGUAAAUGGCAGGAUUGUAGGUUGGGUUGAAUUGUCUUCUGGAGGUGCCUACUGAUAUGCUUCAAUACAGAGGGGACCCAGGCAGCUAAUUUUUAAAUAGCUAAAGUCAGAUGAAGUUAUUCCAACCCUGAUGGGUACAUUCUAAAUUCCAGCCUAGGUUCCUAUUCAGGGACUACCUGUAUUUGCUAGAUGCAAGACAGCUGACCCAACAUUUUGUGCACAGAAUCACAUCUAUCUCCCAGUCCUUACUGAUAGAUACAUUUAGGCCUCUGAAAGCUCAAACCUGACCGUCUUGCCCUUGUCUGUAUACUGAAACUCUCAACAUUUGAUUUUUCUGAAAUCAUACAUAAAGAAGGCAACAAGACCACCCCAUCCUUUCUGUAUUGGUUUCCUCCCUCCCAGAGCAUCUGGGAAUCAGCAGGGGAAUGACACAAAGAAGAAGCAGGAGUCAGAAACAAAGAGGAAACAAGAGAUGGAGUGGAAUCAUAGUGGGCUGUCCUUAGGUGUGUCCUUUGCUGCCAUUAAGAAAAAACCUGUAUUUUGUUGUGAAGUUAACAGUGCUUCAUGUUCUCACUUUCCUACACUUCGAGAUUUUCUACCUAAAUCGAAGAUAUUCACAGCUUGGCCUUCUACACAUGGAUAAUACCUAUUCUGUUUCUGAGGUUAUGUCAAGAAAACCCUUGCCAAAGCCACAUAGGAAAAUAAAAGCAACAACCUUGAGAUGUGGCAAUCUAGAGGCAAUGAAAAUGCCCAUAAGAUUGAAUCGUGAAGGAAGACAAAUACAGAAAUGUAUUCUCUUGGAUGUAGGGAGGAGAUACCACUGAGCUGCUCAGACCUUUGAAGCCAGGGGAUAUGGUGGGCAUAUGAUCAAAAGCAAAUAUUUAGAAAAGCAGUAAAUUUUAAUGUAGAAAAUUGAGGCCCUUCAGGUACUACCAGAUUAGGCAACAGCUGUGCGCAGGCUCUGAGUAUUGAAUCUAGGUGUCUAAAUUUUUUAGUGGUUAAAGGCUAUAAUCCCUUUAAAUUAACAAACACCAUUUUUGCAGAUGAGCUAGAUUUUGAACAGCCACAAAUCCAUCAGACCUGACAAUAUGCAUGCCAGGAUUCUGAGGGGUCUGGCAAAUGUAGCGACUAAGUUGCUCUCUCUUGUACUUGAAAAACCGUGACAGUCAGGUGAAGCUCCUAGUGACUACACACUACAUGCAUGUAGAGGUACUCAGUCACAGUGAUUUUCCAGAAAGGGUGUGCAGAGAUUUUGCCAUCAUGCAGUCAUCUAUACACAUUUGUGUGCGUACAGUUGGGGUAGGCCCCUUCUGCCCUAUUUUCCUGGCUGUAAGGUCUCUCUGUAUCACCCUGCAGUCUUUGCUUGUCAAUCCAAGCCACAACUUGAUUGUGAACCAUCAUUUCCAUCCCUUGCUGUUCCUAGCUGAAAGCUCUUCUUACCAGGUUGGCCAGACUUAACAAACCUGUCAAGAUGUUUAAUUAAUUAAGAGUUUAAUUAAGAUCAACCCUAGGGGUUGCACAGUGCUAUCAUGGUAUUAUCCAAAUCCAUGGUGAAAGUUUCACUUUCUUUAUACGUCAGUUGAGACAUUGAUUUUAAAUAUCUCUUAAAUUCUAUGAUGCUUUGCUUCUCUGUUCUCAUCCCUCUUUCUGAUGCUGUAAGCCUUCCUAGAAGUACUAAUUUCCAACAAUAAAGUACAUCAGAAAUAGUCAUAAUGACCUGCUUGUAUUUGUGCCAUAGUGGUAAUUUCAGAAUUAUUGUUCUUUUGGUGUGAAAAUGGGCUCACUUUAUAGUCUAGAAAGAUCUGAAACUAAUUGUAUCUACCACCUAGUUCUCAAUUUUUCAGUUUCGAAAUUCAUUACAAGAUAACUCCAUGCUGGAACUCAGAGUACAGCUAAGUUAUUUCACAUACAAAUUAAGAGAAACACACAGACCGUAGGAAGCAUGAAAAUCUCACCUGUCAAAUUGAACUACUCAAAAAGCUGAAAAUACGUACAAAAGAAAUCUUAUGGUUAAUCUUAAAAUAUUUAAUAUCUAAUUAACAAUAAAACACUCCCAGUACUUCAGGAAAAGAAAUUAUCCACAAUAAAAGCACUCAGGGUCCUGUAGUCUUUGUAAUUGCUGACAAUUACGAGUAAGUUUAGAGAAAUCAUCACUUACUACUUACAUGACCGCUCAUGCAAAUGUAGAUUUCUUUUAACCAUUUAGGUAUUAAGCUUUCACAGGCACGCAGUCUUAAAAGUGGAAACGGUGCUCCGAAUUUUCCAAGGGAAGCAUUGCUGUUCAACGUAAUCUAAGUUCAGCUCCCUCUAGUGACUCCAACUGCUGCUUUGAAUACCUAACAAGAAAAGGAACA